rnacentral:misc_RNA from 1 species
GAUGAAGAACGUAGCGAAAUGCGAUACGUAAUGUGAAUUGCAAAUUCAGUGAAUCAUCGAGUCUUUGAACGCACAUUGCGCCCCCUGGUAUUCCGGGGGGCAUGCCUGUCCGAGCGUCAUUGCUGCCCUCAAGCACGGCUUGUGUGUUGGGCCCCGUCCUCCGAUCCCGGGGGACGGGCCCGAAAGGCAGCGGCGGCACCGCGUCCGGUCCUCGAGCGUAUGGGGCUUUGUCACCCGCUCUGCAGGCCCGGCCGGCGCUUGCCGAUCAACCCAAAUUUUUAUCCAGGUUGACCUCGGAUCAGGUAGGGAUACCCGCUGAACUUAAGCAUAUCAAUAAGCGGAGGA